rnacentral:rRNA from 1 species
UACGUAGGGGGGCUAGCGUUGUCCGGAAUCAUUGGGCGUAAAGCGCGUGUAGGCGGUCCGGUAAGUCCGCUGUGAAAGUCGGGGGCUCAACCCUCGAAUGCCGGUGGAUACUGUCGGGCUAGAGUGCGGAAGAGGAGAAUGGAAUUCCUGGUGUAGCGGUGAAAUGCGCAGAUAUCAGGAAGAACACCCGUGGCGAAGGCGGUUCUCUGGGACGGUACUGACGCUGAGACGCGAAAGCGUGGGGAGCAAACAGG